rnacentral:piRNA from 1 species
UCCCUCAUUGGAAUGGGAAGUGUGCUGGU